rnacentral:rRNA from 1 species
AGUGAACGCUGGCGGUAGGCCUAACACAUGCAAGUCGAACGGCAGCACAGUAAGAGCUUGCUCUUACGGGUGGCGAGUGGCGGACGGGUGAGGAAUACAUCGGAAUCUACUUUUUCGUGGGGGAUAACGUAGGGAAACUUACGCUAAUACCGCAUACGACCUACGGGUGAAAGCAGGGGAUCUUCGGACCUUGCGCGAUUGAAUGAGCCGAUGUCGGAUUAGCUAGUUGGCGGGGUAAAGGCCCACCAAGGCGACGAUCCGUAGCUGGUCUGAGAGGAUGGAACCGCCAAAGUGAAGUUGAGACACGGCCAGGACCCUGAGGGGAGGCAGAAGGGGGGAUAUUGGGAAAAGGGGGGAAAGCCUGACCCACCAAUCCGGGGGGGGUGAAAAAGGCCUGGGGGUUGUAAACCUUUUUUUUGGGAAAAAAAAAACAGCAGUUUAAACCCCCGUUUUUCUGAGGGUACCAAAAGAAAAAGCCCCGGCAACCUUCGU